AGUGGGGAAUAUUGCACAAUGGGCGCAAGCCUGAUGCAGCGACGCCGCGUGCGGGAUGACGGCCUUCGGGUUGUAAACCGCUUUUGACUGGGAGCAAGCCCUUCGGGGUGAGUGUACCUUUCGAAUAAGCACCGGCUAACUACGUGCCAGCAGCCGCGGUAAUACGUAGGGUGCAAGCGUUAUCCGGAAUUAUUGGGCGUAAAGGGCUCGUAGGCGGUUCGUCGCGUCCGGUGUGAAAGUCCAUCGCUUAACGGUGGAUCCGCGCCGGGUACGGGCGGGCUUGAGUGCGGUAGGGGAGACUGGAAUUCCCGGUGUAACGGUGGAAUGUGUAGAUAUCGGGAAGAACACCAAUGGCGAAGGCAGGUCUCUGGGCCGUCACUGACGCUGAGGAGCGAAAGCGUGGGGAGCGAACAGGAUUAGAUACCCUGGUAGUCCACGCCGUAAACGGUGGAUGCUGGAUGUGGGGACCAUUCCACGGUCUCCGUGUCGGAGCCAACGCGUUAAGCAUCCCGCCUGGGGAGUACGGCCGCAAGGCUAAAACUCAAAGAAAUUGACGGGGGCCCGCACAAGCGGCGGAGCAUGCGGAUUAAUUCGAUGCAACGCGAAGAACCUUACCUGGGCUUGACAUGUUCCCGACAGCCGUAGAGAUACGGUCUCCCUUCGGGGCGGGUUCACAGGUGGUGCAUGGUCGUCGUCAGCUCGUGUCGUGAGAUGUUGGGUUAAGUCCCGCAACGAGCGCAACCCUCGCCCUGUGUUGCCAGCACGUCGUGGUGGGAACUCACGGGGGACCGCCGGGGUCAACUCGGAGGAAGGUGGGGAUGACGUCAGAUCAUCAUGCCCCUUACGUCCAGGGCUUC
rnacentral:rRNA from 1 species